rnacentral:rRNA from 1 species
CCUACGGGUGGCAGCAGUGGGGAAUAUUGCACAAUGGGGGAAACCCUGAUGCAGCGACGCCGCGUGAGUGAGGAAGUAUUUCGGUAUGUAAAGCUCUAUCAGCAGGGAAGAAAAUGACGGUACCUGACUAAGAAGCCCCGGCUAACUACGUGCCAGCAGCCGCGGUAAUACGUAGGUGGCAAGCGUUGUCCGGAAUUACUGGGUGUAAAGGGAGCGCAGGCGGGAAGCCAAGUCAGCUGUGAAAACUACGGGCUUAACUUGUAGACUGCAGUUGAAACUGGUUUUCUUGAGUGAAGUAGAGGUUGGCGGAAUUCCGAGUGUAGCGGUGAAAUGCGUAGAUAUUCGGAGGAACACCGGUGGCGAAGGCGGCCAACUGGGCUUUAACUGACGCUGAGGCUCGAAAGUGUGGGGAGCAAACAGGAUUAGAUACCCCAGUAGUC